CCCUUAGAUGUCCUGGGCCGCACGCGCGCUACACUGAGUGUCUGAGAUACGAGUCUGCCUGGUCCGGCAAGGUCUAGGUAAUCGCUAAAAGACACAUCAUACUUGGGAUAGAUUAUUGCAAAUAUUAAUCUUGAACGAGGAAUUCCUAGUAAGCGCAAGUCAACAGCUUGCGUUGAUUACGUCCCUGCCCUUUGUACACACCGCCCGUCGCUACUACUGAUUGGAUGUUUAAGCGAGGUUCUCGAACUGCUAGCGACUUAGCUUCGGUGAGGUCGCAGUGUGGGAAGUGAACCUAGCUUUGGUGUCUAGAGGAAGUAAAAGUCGUAACA
rnacentral:rRNA from 1 species